UGUUGGAGCACGUGGUUUAAUUUGAAGCAACGCGAAGAACCUUACCAAAUCUUGACAUCCUUUGAAAACUCUAGAGAUAGAGCCUUCCCCUUCGGGGGACAAAGUGACAGGUGGUGCAUGGUUGUCGUCAGCUCGUGUCGUGAGAUGUUGGGUUAAGUCCCGCAACGAGCGCAACCCUUAAGCUUAGUUGCCAUCAUUAAGUUGGGCACUCUAGGUUGACUGCCGGUGACAAACCGGAGGAAGGUGGGGAUGACGUCAAAUCAUCAUGCCCCUUAUGAUUUGGGCUACACACGUGCUACAAUGGA
rnacentral:rRNA from 1 species